UACGUAGGGUGCAGGCGUUAAUCGGAAUUACUGGGCGUAAAGCGUGCGCAGGCGGUCUUUUAAGUCAGAUGUGAAAUCCCCGGGCUUAACCUGGGAACUGCGUUUGAAACUGGAAGGCUAGAGUGUGGCAGAGGGGGGUGGAAUUCCACGUGUAGCAGUGAAAUGCGUAGAGAUGUGGAGGAACACCGAUGGCGAAGGCAGCCCCCUGGGCUAACACUGACGCCUCAUGCACGAAAGCGUGGGGAGCAAACAGG
rnacentral:rRNA from 1 species